AUCAAAACCCGCCGGUUGAACUGGGUUCCACCGGAUCUAUUGCAAAGCCGGUUCAACGUAUGGCUCGGCCCAAGAGUGUCAAGCACUUCCAAGUUCUGCAAUCUCCAAACUGCGCCACCAUUGACUUGUUAGUAAACUUCACCUCGAUGCUGCGGAAGAUAAUAACCGCUCAGACUGCCAACUUGAAAUGAAAUUAUCCUGCUUGCCAUUCUGAUGGAUCAUCAUCUAGCUUUUCAGUUGAUUGAUGUCAAUCUUGAUUUGUGAAAUUGUUUGAUUUGGAUGAUGGUAUUGUGAGGCUCAAACCCUGCUUCAAGAUUACGGAUGGAAAUAUUGUGGCCAACUUUAGAGGCAGUAACGUUGGCAUUGGAGGAGACAAAUUCACUGAGACCACCACAUUGCCUUUGACAUGAUCAAUAACUUGAAUUUUGAGAAAGAAACAUAGAGGCUGAAAGUCAGAGUUCUUGGAAUUCAGGGAGUGCCUAAUCCUACCAGCCAAAGCUAUGUGCUCAAUAUCUUGGUUGUUAAAUUCCUUAUUCUCCUUUGUAUUAUAUAAUGUACUUAAUGAUGCUUUCCUCAUGAAAUCUAUUGUUUCUCAGGUUCCAAGAUUCAGGCGGUUACUCUCAGACCUAUGUUAAACAGAUUCAGAGAUCAAUUAGCUAGGAGGGAAGGUUAUAAGAUGAUUUUAUAUUUUAAAGAAAGAUAGGGAUAUCCCAGCUCCCAAAAUGGAGAAGAACAAAAGGAGCGAAAAUUUUUUCGCCAAAUUUGAGUAACAAAUCAAAUUUCAAUCCUCUUUUAUCUCUCCCCCUAAAUUUCUCUCUCGUUUACUCGCUUAAAUCACUCGUUUUCUAAUUUUGAAACUCUUUCCCUUCUCUCUCCUCUUGUUAAAGCGCAAGAAAAUCUAUCUCAGCUUGCUCGGCAAGGGUUGCAUGUCCAACGACACGCAGGUGGAAGAUAUCUCUGUAUUUCGUGCAAGUGAAAGCUUUGAUCUUUGGAUAUGAAGAGUGUUGGUUCAGAAGAAGAGAAGGCAAAAGAGAAACCAGUAGAGGGUAAGAACAAGAUGAAGCACAAAAUGAAGAGUGUUUCACAGUUGGAGCUUGGAAGUUCUGGACACAACUUAUGUGGGUCUUUUAUUUAUUUAUUUAAUUUUGUUCAUUGCAAGAGGUCUAUUAACUCUUUCAAACGUCUAUAUUUAGGAGGAUAGGUUCAAGUUGGAGGAUAACCUUUGUACAAUGUUGACAUUAAAUUGGAUGAAGGUGAGCAUCUAUUGAAGCCUCUGGAUUUUCAAAGUUAUUUGAUACUUUUGGUUUGAGAUUGAUUUUGGUUUUAGUUGAUUUCUACUUUUUAUUUCUCAAGUGGCACUAAAAUUUGAGCAUAAGAUUAGGGAAGGCUAUAAGCCUAUAACUAUGGCCCUUCUUAUGAGUGGCAAAUUCACUAUAUAUUCCUUUAAUAUCUUGGUUGUAGAUAUCCUUCAUUACACGUUGCUUAUUUUGAUGAUGUAGAGGAAACAAGCAGAGCUACAGACAAUAGACAAAAAAAGGGUCAAUAAAGUUUGUUGUCAUGUCUGUGUACUACAAUUUUCUUUAAAAUAGGCAUCUCCUUAAAAUGGGAUUCUGUCCAAAAUGAUUGUAUAUUAAAAAAUAUUAGAAAACACUGACUUUAUUAUCUUAUAAUAAAAUACAUAACAGAAAAUGAGUAAAAAGAGAGAAUAAAAAUGUCAGAUAAGAAGAGGUAAUCCUGAUAAUUUUUUAUCAAGGAUCUAAUUCAUUAAAUUACGAUGUUUUCAAUAAUUUGAUUAGUUCAAGUACAUAACUAAUUUGAGACAUUUAUUUUGAAAUUGAUAUACCAUAUAGUUAAUGUAUAUAAAGAUGAAUUAUGUUUGUAUCUAUAGAUUAUGUUUUGAGUUGAAAUGAUAUAUCAAUUUCAGUUCUUGGUUACAUCCUCACCUUUAGAUAAGCAUACAUUAGUGAGAAUUGUGAGAACUAAGGUGAGUGAGUGCUUCCUUACAAUGCUUACUACAACUAAUCUUUUCAAUAUUGCCAUAGAGACUGUGAUCAUUGUCUAGAUACAAAAAAAGAUCAAUAAGAUUUAUUGAAAUGACUGCACCACCAUUUUCUGAUGUGAACUGUUGACAAAAUAAAUCUAAAUUAUUUAGCUUGAGCUUGAUACUUUUGGUUUGAGAUGGAUUUGGGUUUUAGUUGAUUUCUGUCUUUUAAGCGGCUCUGUGCUUCCCCCUCAACUGGAGGUUCUAUACUUACCCUUAGAAAUGAAUAUUUAUACUAUCUUCUCAUACUGAUAUAACUGCACCACCACUUUCUUUGAAUUAAAUACAAUUCCUAAUUUAAACCAUUGACAAAGCUAUCAUCAUAUGCACAUAAUGUUACAUUAGUGAUGUUAAAGUGGUGUUAUACAAAAAAUCAAAGGCUUGGUGUUCAUUAUUUCAAGUUGGAGUCAAAGUGAUGUUAUACAAGAAGCUUAGUGAUGUUUUUCUUUGAUUUUGUAAUUUCGUCUUCCGUAAAGUUUUGUUUGUUUUUGUUUUUUUAUCCUUUUAUUUUCACCCUUCUCCAAUA